GUGCUUAUUUCGGCAGCACAUAUACUAAAAUUGGAACAGAGAAUACAGAGAAAAUUAGCAUGGCCCCUGCACAAGGAUGUUUGAAGAAAACUAAUAUUCGCCUUAUAGAAAU